rnacentral:lncRNA from 10 species
CCCGGUGAAUCCUUCCUUCCUCGGUGCCACCUCUAGGCCUGGACAGUCUUAUCACUCACCAGACUGCAUGACAAUGAUUUGUUUCCCUCUCUGCUUUCCCUACUAUUAAAGCUCCUUAAGGGCGGGGCAAGGUUGAUUACAUGCAAUAAACACCAAAUACACAUACAGUGAGAUUUUAUAGAUAAUCCCAGGCUGAUUCUCCAGACUUUCCACAGCUAUCCCUGAAUCAUGUGGUAUUAGCCGGGCCACCUAAUUCCUUAGUCCUUCCUAAUUUUUUUUUAGUGAUAGCAGAGAUGACAUGGGUCCAGAGGUGUGACUUGCAAAAGUCCUUUGUUGAAACAUUCAGUAUAUUAAAAAAAUGCUCUCGUUUGAUUUAAAAAAUAGGACCAUUGCAGACAUGGGCAGGUCUGGUGGGUCAGUGUGCACUGGCACUGUCUAAAUAGCAGGUCAUCCUUUUCCGGGAAGGGGCAGUGGUUCUACAUGAGGACACUGCCCUUGUGUUUUAUGUAAAAAGGAAGCCAAAUAGACCAACAAACACUUGUCUUUUCUUCAUGAAGUAGGUAAUACACCAGUAGCAACUCCCUGAUUCUUCCCUGAAACAAUGCUAAGAGCUGGUAUCCCUUCCCUGUAUCAUCACACUUGUCCACUCCCACUGCAGCCCACGUCAAUCCUGCUGCAUCCCACCCCAGGAAGGUCAUUCAGAUCAAAGUCAGAAAAAGCACAUGGUGAAAAGGAGGUGAGCCUGCCAAUAUCAGAGUUCCAAGUGACAUCUCUGAACAUUCUGUGAUUCUGAGACUGGCUGGCUCUUACCCUAACAGAACUCACAAAUAUAAAUCAGCAAACACAGGCCCACCACUUUAGGCUGCACCAUCCACAGCUGAUUCUCAUCAAUAAAGACGCCAUGCAAAAACAAACAAACUAGGUGUGGGAGGGGCCUGCUUCAGCACCAGCACUUCCAG